AUUGAACGCUGGCGGCAUGCCUUACACACGCAAGUCGAACGGCAGCACGGGAGCAAUCCUGGUGGCGAGUGGCGAACGGGUGAGUAAUGUAUCGGAACGUACCUUUCAGUGGGGGAUAACGUAGCGAAAGUUACGCUAAUACCGCAUAUUCUGUGAGCAGGAAAGCAGGGGAUCGCAAGACCUUGCGCUGAUUGAGCGGCCGAUAUCAGAUUAGCUAGUUGGUGAGGUAAAGGCUCACCAAGGCGACGAUCUGUAGCGGGUCUGAGAGGAUGAUCCGCCACACUGGAACUGAGACACGGUCCAGACUCCUACGGGAGGCAGCAGUGGGGAAUUUUGGACAAUGGGCGCAAGCCUGAUCCAGCCAUGCCGCGUGAGUGAAGAAGGCCUUCGGGUUGUAAAGCUCUUUCAGCCGGGAAGAAAACGCAUGGGUUAAUACCCUGUGUGGAUGACGGUACCGGAAUAAGAAGCACCGGCUAACUACGUG
rnacentral:rRNA from 1 species